rnacentral:misc_RNA from 1 species
AGCAGCCGCGGUAAUUCCAGCUCCAAUAGCGUAUAUUAAAGUUGUUGCAGUUAAAAAGCUCGUAGUUGAAUUUCGGGAUUGACGUGAUGGUCGUGCCUUAAGGGGUAUGAACUGUUGCUGUUGAUUUCUCACCUUCUGGAGAAACUUGAUGUCCUUAAUUGGGUGUCUUGCGGAUCCAGGACCUUUACCUUGAAAAAAUUAGAGUGUUUAAAGCAGGCAUUUUUGCUCGAAUACAUUAGCAUGGAAUAAUAGAAUAGGACGGCAUGGUUCUAUUUUGUUGGUUUCUAGGAUCACCGUAAUGAUUAAUAGGGAUAGUUGGGGGCAUUAGUAUUCAAUUGUCAGAGGUGAAAUUCUUGGAUUUAUUGAAGACUAACUACUGCGAAAGCAUUUGCCAAGGAUGUUUUCAUUAAUCAAGAACGAAAGUUAGGGGAUCGAAGACGAUCAGAUACCGUCGUAGUCUUAACCAUAAACUAUGCCGACUAGGAAUCAGACGAUGUUAAUUUUUAAUGACUCGUUUGGC